AAAAAGUUUGAUUAUAUGGCCACCUUUGUGGUAAGAAUAGAGGUUCCAGUAAACUUCAUAAAGUUGGUAGAAGUGGGUUCCAUAAAAUGUUUCAAAGUUGGAAUGCCCCUCAGAGCACUGAAAAUUUUGGUCAUAGAGGGGAAACAUCUGCAAGCACAUGACUUUAUGAUGAGCAUUAUAUUUUUCAUGAUCAGCAUUAUAUUUUGAAGAGCUCCCCAACUGACCAUGAUAUAAUAACGAUGUCUAUCUUCAAAACACUUAGCACUAGAGAGAGACUUUAAUGGAACCUGAAGACCUGUACAGCCAGAAAGAAAUCUCCUUGACAUCCACAUGAGUGAAAAAGACAGCAUGGAAUAAUGCUCAGUGUUGGGGAGAGCACUGAUCCAGGAACCUGAAGAUCCGACCAGCUUCUGACCGACUACAUAUGUGAUCUCGGGCAGUCAUCAAGCCCUUUAGUUCAGUCCCGUCAGUAAAAUGAGGAUGGAUGUUGGCAUCUGCUCUGUGUACCCCAGUGGGCUGUGAACAUUUGCGAAAGCUUCACGAAUCACUGACUAAACAACCAGUGUCUUACUAUUCUUGUCAAAAGUUUUAUGGAAACAGUGGUGCAUUGACAACAUAAGUGGUGUGUGUGUGUGUGAUGAAAGGUGGAAGAGAAGAUGUGGAUUUCAGACAAAGAAGAUAGCAAGUGAUCUAUAUGGAAAUGUUAAUUUCCCAGGCAUUUCACUUUUUUGGGCACUCAGGCACUUCUGGAGCACACAACAUCUAUAUAUGGAUGGUGGGCUUUCCCAAAAUGUAGUUGAAGUUGUCAUGCAUAUGAGAAGAGUGACUGAGGAUGCAACUGUGAAAUCAUUUCCAGGCCAAUUUCUUCAUGUUCUACCUGAAACCCUUUACCUCUCAUUCAAGAAAGCGUUACUGAAAAACCAGGGGUUUGGUCCUGCUGCUUGCCACACAGAAAGCCAAUGACUGAGACAAUGAGUACUGCCAAUGAGGAAGUCUUUAAUCGGGUGUGGCAGCCAAGGAAGUGGGAGCUGAGUCUAAAAUCCAUCUACCUGACCAGCUAAAACUAGAGGUUUAUAUAGCAGCGAAGAAAUCUAACAGUGUGUAAGAAAACAGGAACUAGGGAGGGGCAAGGAAGCAAUCACAAUGAAUGAGGGGUCCUGAGGGGUCUGGCAUCUCAUUGUCUGGAUAUGGUGAUC
rnacentral:lncRNA from 10 species